rnacentral:rRNA from 1 species
AUGAACGCUGGCGGCGUGCCUAAUACAUGCAAGUCGCGCGAACAGACGAGGAGCUUGCUCCUCUGACGUUAGCGGCGGCCGGGUGAGUAACACGUGGAUAACCUACCUAUAAGACUGGGAUAACUUCGGGAAACCGGAGCUAAUACCGGAUAAUAUAUUUAACCGCAUGGUUCAAUAGUGAAAGACGGUUUUGCUGUCACUUAUAGAUGGAUCCGCGCCGCAUUAGCUAGUUGGUAAGGUAACGGCUUACCAAGGCAACGAUGCGUAGCCGACCUGAGAGGGUGAUAGGCCACACUGGAACUGAGACACGGUCCAGAGUCCUACGGGAGGCAGCAGUAGGGAAUCUUCCGCAAUGGGCGAAAGCUUGACGGAGCAACGCCGCGUGAGUGAUGAAGGUCUUCGGAUCGUAAAACUCUGUUAUUAGGGAAGAACAAAUGUGUAAGUAACUAUGCACGUCUUGACGGUACCUAAUCAGAAAGCCACGGCUAACUACGUG